rnacentral:rRNA from 1 species
AGAGUUUGAUCCUGGCUCAGAAUGAACGCUGGCGGCGUGCUUAACACAUGCAAGUCGAACGAGAAAGGGAUUGCUUGCAAUCCCGAGUAGAGUGGCGCACGGGUGAGUAACACGUAGAUAAUCUGCCUUCAAGCCUGGGAUAACUAUUCGAAAGGGUAGCUAAUACCGGAUAAAGUCGAUCUACACAAGUAGAUUGAUGAAAGAUUGCCUCUUCUUGAAAGCAAUUGUUUGGAGAUGAGUUUGCGUACCAUUAGCUUGUUGGUGGGGUAAAGGCCUACCAAGGCAACGAUGGUUAGCUGGUCUGAGAGGAUGAUCAGCCACACUGGAACUGGAACACGGUCCAGACUCCUACGGGAGGCAGCAGUGAGGAAUUUUGCGCAAUGGGGGCAACCCUGACGCAGCAACGCCGCGUGAGUGAAGAAGGCCUUUGGGUCGUAAAGCUCUGUCAACAGGGAAGAAGUUACAAUUGUUUAAUAGAUGGUUGUAUUGACGGUACCUGUGGAGGAAGCGCCGGCUAACUCCGUGCCAGCAGCCGCGGUAAUACGGGGGGCGCAAGCGUUAUUCGGAAUUAUUGGGCGUAAAGGGCGCGCAGGCGGUCUUGUCCGUCAGGUGUGAAAGCUCGGGGCUCAACCCCGGAAGUGCACUUGAAACAGCAAGACUUGAAUACGGGAGAGGAAAGCGGAAUUCCUGGUGUAGAGGUGAAAUUCGUAGAUAUCAGGAGGAACACCGAUGGCGAAGGCAGCUUUCUGGACCGAUAUUGACGCUGAGGCGCGAAGGCGUGGGUAGCAAACGGGAUUAGAUACCCUGGUAGUCG